GACGAACGCUGGCGGCGUGCCUAAUACAUGCAAGUAGAACGCUGAAGGAGGAGCUUGCUCUUCUGGAUGAGUUGCGAACGGGUGAGUAACGCGUAGGUAACCUGCCUGGUAGCGGGGGAUAACUAUUGGAAACGAUAGCUAAUACCGCAUAAGAGUAGAUGUUGCAUGACAUUUACUUAAAAGUUGCAAUUGCAUCACUACCAGAUGGACCUGCGAUGUAUUAGCUAGUUGGUGGGGUAACGGCUUACCAAGGCGACGAUACAUAGCCGACCUGAGAGGGUGAACGGCCACACUGAGACUGAGACACGGCCCAGACGUCUACGGGAAGCAGCAGUAGGGAAUCUUCGGAAAUGGACGGAAGUCUGACCGAGCAACGCCGCGUGAGUGAAGAAGGAUGUCGGAUCGUAAAGCUCUGUUGUAAGAGAAGAACGAGUGUGAGAGUGGAAAGUUCACACUGUGACGGUAGCUUACCAGAAAGGGACGGCUAACUACGUG
rnacentral:rRNA from 1 species